rnacentral:rRNA from 1 species
AACGAACGCUGGCGGCAUGCCUAACACAUGCAAGUCGAACGAGACCUUCGGGUCUAGUGGCGCACGGGUGCGUAACGCGUGGGAACCUGCCCUUAGGUUCGGAAUAACUCCCCGAAAGGGGUGCUAAUACCGGAUAAUGUCUUCGGACCAAAGAUUUAUCGCCUUUGGAUGGGCCCGCGUUGGAUUAGCUAGUUGGUAGGGUAAAAGCCUACCAAGGCGACGAUCCAUAGCUGGUCUGAGAGGAUGAUCAGCCACACUGGGACUGAGACACGGCCCAGACCUCCACGGGGGGAAGCAAGGGGGAAUAAUGGACGAUGGGGGAAAGCCCGAGCCCGGCAUGGCGGGUGAGUGGAUAAGGGCUUAAGGUUGGUAAGGCCCUUUACCCGGGAUGAUAAUGACAGUACCGGGAGAAUAAGCUCCGGCUAACUCCGUG